UUCCAGAUUAGCAGAAGAUAAAUGUACUUGAUUUAGGCUCAAGAGGUAGAAAAUAUUCUAUUUGGUAG